rnacentral:tRNA from 1 species
GGUCUCGUGGUGUAGCGGUUAUCACGCCUGCUUUACACGCAGGAGGUAGCCGGCUCGAUCCCGGCCGAGAUCA